UACGAAGGGGGCUAGCGUUGCUCGGAAUCACUGGGCGUAAAGGGUGCGUAGGCGGGGCUUUAAGUCAGGGGGGAAAUCCUGGAGCUCAACUCCAGAACUGCCUUUGAUACUGAAGAUCUUGAGUUCGGGAGAGGUGAGUGGAACUGCGAGUGUAGAGGUGAAAUUCGUAGAUAUUCGCAAGAACACCAGUGGCGACGGCGGCUCACUGGCCCGAUACUGACGCUGAGGCACGAAAGCGUGGGGAGCAAACAGG
rnacentral:rRNA from 1 species